AUGCUUCUGGGCCCUGAUCAGUGUUUCCCACCUCAAGGUUCCAGGCAUCUCUUUGCUGUCCCAAUUCCUGUUUGUUCCUGCAGUCUGGUCUGUCUAAGAUUUUGGAAACUUCUUUGCAAGGGAAUUUUUCUAACAGGGAGACCCAGCCCGGUGAGGAAGGAACUUGCUGCCUCUUGCCAGCCAGAGACCUGGGAACUGGUGAAGUCAAGCAUUUCUUUACACUGUUGGAGAAAUGAAGCCAAGGUUAUCCAGAUGGCUUCCCAGUUGAAAGGCUUGUCACCUGUGAGAGAUCCUGGCACUGACUGUGAGCCACUGGCAGGGUGUACCCUGCUCACCACAGAGAAGACAAAUCUCUGGAGCCAGGGUGAACAGCCAGUCUGCCUCCAAGGCUUCCGUGUUGCUGAGGCCAUGGAGAUUUCCAGAGCUGGUCAAGCUGGCCUCUCCCAGGGCCCACUGUCCUGGCUGGCAAUACCGUUCUGGCCUGGGCCAGCAGAAAGUUUCAGUGACUUUACUGGCAGUUGGGGCAAGUGGGAGAGGCAAUGACCUCUGCCUAGCGGCCUCCUUCUACACUGUUCAAUGGAAGAUUAAUUUAGCUUCAACCCAAGAGAAUUCCUGAUUCCUUUGAUGCUGUGAUUUGGGCACAAGAUUCCAGACACCUAGAAUGGAGCCUUGUACUCCUGUACGCUUAACAGUGGGGUUUAUAGUCAGCCUUUUUUCUUUUGCUUUUUUAAGGUCACCAUCUAAAUUGCAUCCUUAGCUCAAGACCAACCCGCCCCCCUCAGAUCUCUUUCUUGGUCCCACAGCCCCAGGUCUGUGGCCAGGUGACCUUACUCAGGAGCAGAUAUAUUGAUACUCAUGGUGCCUUAAUCCACCAGACUGGCCUAUAGCAUUCCGGAGCUCACUGGCUCUUCCAGAUGUGCCUUCCUGCUUGGUUUCCAGCGGCUUGGCGGUCCCUCUGCCAGAUGUGAGAAGGAUGGAUAAGAUUGUGGCCAUACCAGCCCUCCCUCUCAAGGGCCUGUGCCAUAGCUAUGGCCACCUGGUUCAGCCCAGAACUUUUGGCUCCUUCCUUGACACCAGGAGUCAGGUCACCCCAAGGUCCUGGCCCAAAUGUUGGAGACCAUUUGUGUAUCCAGGAGACAGCUCUGACCGUGUUCUGUAAAGGUCGAGCGAGCCUCCUUGGGAGGAGUGUGGGUAGCAAGGGAGAGAGGACUGAUGCACCUUAUUCAGUAGUUCCAUAGUGAGUGGUUCCAUUAUGCUUUUCUGAAUAAAAUGUGUUUUGUCUGAUUUCGGGGUUUGUGUCUUCUGUCCUGGUCCUCCAAAGUAACCUCUGUGCUGAGUGUCCCCCCAGGGCCCCCCCAUGUCCUCAUGCCACACUGCCCUGCAG
ensembl:lincRNA